CAGGCCACAGCCGCCGCUCGGCGUUGUCUGGGGACGCCGAACACCUUCAGCCCCUGACAGGCCUUGAGUACCGAACUUCAUAGGGUUCCUGGAAACCACCCAGACCACUGUCUUCACAGCAUUAUUUUCCCAUUGUCAAUAUUUGGUCACUUUAUUUUACCCGUUUCCAAAAGUAUUGCUGCAUAGAAGAAGUAAUGAUUUUUGUUCGCCAUUGCCGUGUUCUCUGAGGCCUCUGACAUCAGGCACCUUUCUCAUUUACAUAAUGAUUGCAGGUUCUUUCCUAGUUGUUAUGGUUGAUACAUUUGUCACAUGUAAAGUUCAUCCCUUAUCAGAUUUUAAACCCGAUCCCGAAGUGCUGUUACCUCUGUAACUUCGUGAAUGUCUUGGAAAUACAUUGAAAUGCCAGGUACUAUGAGAGUUUCCCAGUUCAUUUAGAAGUUGCCAAUCUAGAGAAAUAAAAAUCCUUCUUGCAGGGUAUCACCCAAAGCUGGAUUUAUCACCAACUGUGAUUGAGAAAUCUAAUAAUUUAUCGUUUAAAUACUGAAUCAGAACCAUAGCAAGUUUUAAAAACCUAAACAAACUAUACUUUCAAAAAAUUUACUUGAGUUUGUGAUCCUUCUCCUUAUGGAUUCUAGCUUCUUAGAAGCUGCUGAUAUCUUUCUCCAGGUUAAUUGUUCUCCAAACUUUGGCAGGCAAACCUUGGAAAUUUCUCAACUUUGUAGAUAUCCUGGGUUUUACUGUUUAGGAUUAUCACAACUAUUUCAAGCAGGUUCCCCAAAAAAUGCUUAUUCCAUCCUUUGUAUUCCUGUUCAUCAGUAUCUCAUUUUCUGUGGUUAGUCCUGGGAAAUCAUCUGGACAUGCAGAGGCUUAAAUAAUUUUAAAUGAUUUCUCCAUUCUCAGGCUAUCUGCAUAGAUUCCUAUCAGUGGAUAGGACUUAGACUUAGAAUGCAAAAUCUCUGGUUUAGCACAGCACACCACAACCUUAAAGGUGGAAUGGCAAAAUGUGGUGUUGUAGAGCAGUUCACAUGUAUGUUCAACACCACAGAAAACAAAAAGCAAAACACCUGUAGAUGAUGAAGGUGCUUGGUUUGGGAUCUUCCUCUCCUGUUAAUGAAAGGACAUGUCUGCACGGGGUGUUACACACCCCCUGUGUCCCCUGUGCCCCAGCUAACCCCCCUGCAGCCAGCCUGGCUUGUUCAUGGACCUGACUGCAGCACCAGCUCACAGCCCAUUCCGAAGAGGAAUUCAGCCGUGCUUUCACUACAGGUCACUCUGUCUGUGCCCUGCACACACUAAGCCUGGUGUUGGCUUCUCCCAGCAAAAGACAGAGGAGACAGAAUGGGCACAAACAUUUCUGUAUCUAUGCCUGAAGGGCCAGAGGCCACCCCUGUCCUUGAGCAGUCUUUUCCAUCUUGAUAAGCAAACUUAUGGGUUUUUUAGACUGCUGUUUGUGGUGUUCCAGUAUGGGGAACAGCGAUGAGUUCUAAUGGAUGGUCAGGAAUGAAAUUAAGCCAAACAAGCUGGCUGCUUGCCCUGCCUGCAAGAAUUGGUUCUUUUCCCGAGUCUGGGCUGGGCCUAAUUGAACAUGAAUAGAUUCCCUGGCCCCAAACAGGAUCACUGAACUUGAAGAAGACAAAAGCUGAUGGACAAGGACAACAGAAUCAACUUUUCUUCACAACCAGCUAUUCCUCACUGUCACUCAGUGUGUUACCAGUAAAUUAAAUGUUCACAAGGAAAGUUUUUUUAUAAAAGAGUAAUAAACAGAAGACAGCAUUCACUAUUUUAAACCUCAAGACCACAUCUCUUGAGAGACAAUGCUUUGUAAAAACAGUCAGAGGAGAAGAGAGAAGCAGAUAUAAAACUUUAAUGGCCUGGUAUGUUAAAAAUGAAGAAAGCAAACAGCAGGAAGCUUAGCCUAGCAGGAUCCAUUUUAUAUGUUACAUUUUUCACAAGCCAGUUUCAUUACAAAAAUUAGGAAUGGUAAUUGCUACAUAUAAAUGUAAAGUGUCUCUCUCGGCCCAGCACAGGGGAUAAAAACCCCCAACCAAAUCCCAAACUAUAAUGCCACUCUCUGUUCUCAGGAUUCUUAAGUAUGCAAAUAGUUUUUCCACUUAAGAUCUCCCAGACACAGAUCUGGUCAAAGCAAAUUACCCAAACAGUUUGCAUUCAUCAGAGAGGAAAAGAGAUGAUAAGGCAGAUAAAACCAAUGAUUGUAGACAUUUUGAUCAAAAGCCUGCCAUUUUACAGGGGAGAUUAUCUUGUACUCUAAUUCUCUAGUUAUAUUAGUAGCAGAAUCUUAUUUUCAUAUUAUAAGAUAAUGUGAGGUGAAAUGGUAGAUAAAACCUGCCUUCACUGAAGUGAAUGACAAGAUUUUAAUUGACACAAACUGAGUACUUUUGUUCCAGGGGCUUUAUGCCAUGUGCAAUUUCUUCAGUGUUUUUUUGUGCAAAUAUUAGCCUUUCUAACCGAGUUCUUUAGCAUUCAGUAUUAUUUGUGCAGCCUGUGUUUCGCCUGCUACCAUGGAAUUAUUCAUCUCAAAAAAAAAAAUCAUCUAGCAAAUCAGCUGUAAUUCAACUUUCUCAUAUUAAUUUUGUGAAUAAAAUGUUCUUUUUCUUUUAUAUUUUAGGUAAGAUGGCCAUAAUGCAUGGAAUUAUGAUGCGGAAUGUUACUCCAUGAAAUGUUAUGUAUGACUUAUCUUCUAACAAAAUACAAAGGACCAGUUCUUCUGUACCUCUUGAGCACCCAUGCUCUGCACAGCAGGAUGUUGAGCAUGCACCUCUUCUCAGCAGAAUACAAGGAGUAAGAAUGAUGGUGCCAUGAAGCUCUGGUUCACGUGUUAAACCACCAUCCACCAUGCAGUGACCAGUUUUAGUGCCAUCCCAAAACAGACAUAAUGGCACAGUUGUCAGUUAUCUGGGUGAGUCUAAAAAAAUUUUAUAACAUGUCUUAGGUGAGAACAAAUACUCAUAUUAGGAACAACAGUACAAAUACUUGAUGAAAUUAUAAAUAAUGCUGUUUUUUACAAAAGUAAGGAAGAUUAAACAGUAAGACCAUAAAAUAACAUUAUUAACACAACACACAGAAGCUGAAAAAUCAGGUAAAUUUAUUGUAAAUAGUGUUUGGGUUAUGCUUCAGGCUUCUGGAUUUAUACAAAUAUUAGUGACCCAUUUGAAGAAAACCCAAUAAAUUCCUUGUCCUCCCUGCAGGGGACAUAAGGAAUAAUGGAUUAUUAUCCUCUUCAUAACCAUUUGAGACAUACUGAAAGAGUUGUGUCCUGUUCCCUUUUGUAUUUCCCAUAAAUUGAUAUAGACACAUCAUUCUUUCCAUACAGUUUAGCAAAUAUUUAGCAAAUUCUUUAUAAAUUUUGUGGCUCCUCUCUCCAGAGACCUGCUUUAUUCUGGAAGUGCCAUGUCCAAAGCCGGACACAGCACUAAACAGGAAUAUCCAUCUCUCACAUCCAUAACCUCAAGCUCCCAUUAACACCUCUCAGAAUGAAGUCUGCCUCUUUUUCUGCAAGAAUUCCUCCAAAUCUUUUCUAGUUCUGAUGCUUUUUACAAUCUUUCCUUAAUGAUCACCACUGGGAUCACUUCUGAUGCAGUGGAUAAAGCUAGUCUGACUCUUACUUGUAAAUGGAUUUUUCUCAGAUCAAAGUCUUAGAUUAACCUUUACGAAAAAAUGAGAUAUUUGUAAUCUCUAGUUCAUGUUAGAACAAACUAAUUAUUCCAGACCAUAACGAGUGACUGGCAGUGUCAUUAGUAAAGACUGCCACCACUAGCAAAGCCCAUUUUAUGACAAAAAGCACUUUAUGACAAAAAGCAUAAAAACUGAACAUUAUCACAAAGUUCUUUUUACCUGGUUCUGAAAUAAAAACAUUAACAGGCAUCUAAGAGGUUUUAGUGGAAUCAGUUUUUAAUUGCUUACAGAUUUUUCAACAGCAGAUGAGAAUAUUAAACUCAUCAAAACAACAAAAUCUAUAAUUUGAAUAACACAAAAGAUCUAAUUUAACUUUACUUGUCUCCCCAGAGCAAGUGCUUACAUCACCAAAAUAGUUCUGGAUAUGUCCCCAUAAUUGCACAAAACACUUAAAGAAGCAGAAUCAGAAACAGUUUUAUUUUAAGUAAAAGAGUUGGAGGAAACACUUCCUUAACUGAAGCCAUAGGUCAGGGAAAAUCAGAGAAUCCCAGGACAAACAGAAAGCAGAUGCCAGGUCAAGGAAGGGCUCCCCUUGUCCAGGCUUGGGGUGGUCUGGUCAUGGCAAUGAUGAGCCAGGAGCCCAGAAAAUGAAUCACAGAACUGUUAGGGUUGGAAGGUACCUCUGGAGAUCACCUUGUGCAUUUGUGGACAUGGCUUCUUGUCCUGUCACUGAGCACCACUGAAAAGACUCUGACACCAUCCUACUGACAUCCAUCUUUGAAAUAUUUAUAUGCAUUGAUGAAAUUCCCUCUCAGGCUUUUCCUCCUUCUCCUCUCUAGACUGAUGAGACCUCACCUAUGCUGGCUAAGCUCCUGCCAGGCUGGUGACAAAGGCAGAGACCAAGUGCCAAGCUGGUACAGCCUCACUAUUGAUUUUAGAGGGUUGAAUGUCAGAAGGAAUAACCACUAGACAUCUAAAAUUGCUAGACUCACCAUUUCAGAUGGUAAGAAAUGCUUGCUAGGUUGCACAUUGUUUUCAGGGGCAGGAGAACCUGAUUCAGACUACCAAAAAGAAUUGUGAUUUUCUAGUUCAAUGGCUGAACUGAAACAUGGGGGGAAGUUUUUACAUUUUGUUUUUAAAAGCCUGCCUCUUCAAAUCUCUUUUUUAAACCCACUUCCAGGUUCAGCAUCUUGACUCUGAAAUCAAUUUUAAAAUGAGACAAUGAAUUAUUUACUUUCUAAAAUAUUGAAAGAAUUUCAACUUCUUUUGUCUUUUCUUUGUUCUAACUCAUCACCAAUUUGGGGCUAAUUUUGUAGAAAGUUUUGAUUCCUUUCAAGACUAUUCCAAUUGAAAAGCCAUACUUAUAUAUAUGUGUGUGUGUGUGUGUGUGUGUGUGUGUGUGUGUGUGUUUAUUCUAUUGUUUCCUCUUCUAGCAAUAAGACAAUGUCUAGUAAUAAGACAAUUUUUGAGACUUGCUGAACUGUUACAAUUAUGUGGUGAAGCCUGUGAUCUGAGGCAGGUAUUUCUUUGCUACAGCUGUUUAUUUACACAAAGAAUCUACAUUAAAUUCGUUUUCCCAGAAUCCAGCAGGAACAGACAAGAAACAGUUCAUCUGGGCAUGCUUCCAAGCCUGUCUUUUCAGACACCAAUCUGCUCAAAAAGAAGCUUGGUCUUGGCUUCUUCUAAGGGGAAAUGCUACUCCAAGUUCUCCUGCCUCUUCUGCUGCACCUCUUGUUUUUCUGCUUCCACAUCUGUGUUCCACCCACUGCCUGAGCUCUGCAUUACCAAACAAUGGUAAUUUCCACCAUCCCCCAAAAAUCAUCAUCUUAGUCUCUCUAUAUUUCUAGCUAUUUUCUGCUUUGGACACAGACUUCUCUUUUUUCCUUGUUCACUUUCAUAAAGGAGCUUGACUGCCUUCUUUUAUUCAGUUGAAAUUAAGUGAAACAGUGUGCCAAAUAGCUUGUCUAUGAUUGCCAAAAAUAAGCUUGCUGGAAGCCAUUCCUUUCGAUGCCAUAGACCUGUCCAUUGUUCAAGUGGAAUACAGAGCAGAGAUCUCUUGUGGAACAUGUCUCUGAUUCAUCCCCACUUAACUAACAGUGCUUAGCUGCUUCUUAUCCCAAAUAUGCUCUUAGCCAUGACACUGUGCCUUGAAUCAUAUUUCAUCUUCCAAUGAUGCCUUUGAAACCAAAAUAAGUCUGAAAACCCCAAUAUUUUUCAAGAUACAAAAUCCAGGAAAUUUUACCAUUGCUUGUAGAAGCUUUUAACAAGACAGCUGAGCAAUGGAAGACAUAUAAAUUAAGCUUUUUCUUCAACAAGCCUGAGGAAGAGAAAAGGACAAUCCACCACAGUAACUGGUGAUGUUGCUGUGAGGGGUUUUGAAAGGUCUUGUAGCAUGAGGAAGGCAAAGAGAUGCCUUGGCAGAGAAGAAAUAGCCCUAAGAAUGCUGAGCACCCCUCUGGGGUAGCAUGGAGAAGCCAAUAGCUUUCAAGGUAGUUGAGAUGCUGAAGCAACAACAAAAUAAUAAAAAGGAGCUUGUUUAAAAACAACCUAAAAUGGUGUUCUCUUGUCUUCUAUAUUUGUACCCAUGGUCAUAGACCCCAAAUUAUUUAUUUCUUAAGAGAUGAAGUAAAGUUACUUUUUUUAAACUGAAAUGUUGUGAUAAAGCAGGCACAUGC